rnacentral:rRNA from 1 species
ACGUAUGGAGCAAGCGUUAUCCGGAUUUACUGGGUGUAAAGGGAGUGUAGGUGGCCAGGCAAGUCAGAAGUGAAAGCCCGGGGCUCAACCCCGGGACUGCUUUUGAAACUGCAGGGCUAGAGUGCAGGAGGGGCAAGUGGAAUUCCUAGUGUAGCGGUGAAAUGCGUAGAUAUUAGGAGGAACACCGGUGGCGAAGGCGGCUUGCUGGACUGUAACUGACACUGAGGCUCGAAAGCGUGGGGAGCAAACAG